CCCUUAGAUGUCCUGGGCUGCACGCGCGCUACACUGAUGCAUUCAACGAGCUUUACCUUGGCCGAGAGGCCUGGGCAAUCUUUUAAACCUGCAUCGUGAUAGGGAUAGAUUAUUGCAAUUAUUAAUCUUGAACGAGGAAUUCCUAGUAAACGCAAAUCAUCAAUUUGCAUUGAUUACGUCCCUGCCCUUUGUACACACCGCCCGUCGCACCUACCGAUUGAAUGGUCCGGUGAAGCCUCGGGAUUGUGGCCAGUUCACUUUAUUGGGAGUUGGCUGUGAGAACUUGUCUAAACCUUAUCAUUUAGAGGAAGGUGAAGUCGUAACA
rnacentral:rRNA from 1 species